rnacentral:rRNA from 1 species
UACAGAGGAUGCAAGCGUUUAUCCGGAAUUAUUGGGCGUAAAGAGCUCGUAGGCGGUUUGUCGCGUCUGCCGUGAAAGUCCGGGGCUCAACUCCGGAUCUGCGGUGGGUACGGGCAGACUAGAGUGUGGUAGGGGAGACUGGAAUUCCUGGUGUAGCGGUGAAAUGCGCAGGAUAUCAGGAGGAACACCGAUGGCGAAGGCAGGUCUCUGGGCCACUACUGACGUGAGAAGCGAAAGCAUGGGGAGCGAACAGG